ensembl:lncRNA
CGGCAGUCCUGUGGGUGACAACAGCUCAUUGAUGAGAGGUCGGCAGUCCUGUGGGUGACAACAGCUCAUUAAUGAGAGGUCAGCAGUCCUGUGGGUGACAACAGCUCAUUGAUGAGAGGUCGGCAGUCCUGUGGGUGAAACAGCUCAUUGAUGAGAGGUCAGCAGUCCUGUGGGUGACAACAGCUCGGUGAUGAGAGGUCCAAGGAGAACGGCAAGAAUCGUGCAAGCUAACAGGCAAAUAACGGCGCAGUACAACAGUGGUGUGCAGAUAUGCAUCUUGGGAAUGCACAACUCGUAGGUCCUUGUCACGGAUGAGCUGUUGCAGCAGACGACCACACCGGGUUCCUAUCAGAUAAAAACAACAAGAGGCUCCCAGUGGGCACGUGAUCAUCAACACUGGACAACUGAGGAGUGGAAAAGCAGUGCCUGGUCCGACCAAUCCUGGUUCCUGUUGCGUCCUGCUGAUGUCAGGGUUUGGCGUAAGCAGCAUGAGUCCAUGGCCACAUCCUGUCUGGUGUCAACGGUACAGGCUGGUGGUGUAACGGUGUGGGGAAUGUUUUCCUGGCACACGUUAGGGCCCUUGAUACCAAUUGAGCAACGUGCCCAUGCCCCGAAGAAUUCAGGCUGUUCUGGAGGCAGAGGUACUCACUUUGGGUGCUGUUUAUAUUUAAGUGCAGGAACUCUGUAAUACUGUUGAGAUACUAUUCUAGAAUAGAAACAGGAAUUCCAAUACUGUUGAGAUAAUAUUCUGGAAGAGGAACAGGAACUCUGCAAUACUGUUGAGAUAAUAUUCUAGAAGAGGAACAGGAACUCUGUAAUACUGUUGAGAUAAUAUUCUAGAAGAGGGAACAGGAAUUGGACUUCCUGACGGGCCGACCGCAGGCUGUGAGGAUUAGCAUCAGAGGCCCCAGGGGUGUGUCUUCAGUCAUCUGCUGUACUCUCUGUUCACCAACGACUGCAUGGCUUUGCACCACAUCAACUCCCAUCAUCAAGUUUGCAGGCCUGAUAACCAACCUGUCUUACUUAUUGAUGUCAUGUUAAAUCCACUUCAAUCAGUGUAGAUGAAGGGGAGGAGACAGAUUAAAGGAUUUAAGCCUUGAGACAUGGAUUGUGUC